ACAGAAGAGGGAGGAUGCUGUUUCCAAAGAAGUGACUCGAAAACUUUCUGAAGCUGAUAAUAGAAAGAUGUCUCGGAAGGAGAAAGAUGAAAGGUUUGACUCCUGUUUAAAGUAUGGCCAUCAUAAAAGGGGGUACUUUGAAGAGAAUUUUUUGAUUUUUGCUUAAAGAAUUUGGAUUUUGGAAUUGUCUGAGAAUCUUGUGGAAGAAGAAUGAAGUUGCUGAUUAUGAAGCUACAACAUUUUCCAUCUUCUAUAACAACACUCUGUUCCUGGUCGUGGUCAUUGUUGCUUCCUUCUUCAUAUUGAAGAACUUCAACCCCACAGUGAACUACAUAUUGUCCAUAAGUGCUUCAUCAGGACUCAUCGCCCUCCUGUCUACUGGCUCCAAAUAGACCAUGUCAGCUUCACCCCCUGGCUUUGUGUCUAUGGGUGGCCUGUGGUAUAUGGAAAAGUAGCAGGGUGGUCAGGGUGGGAGACACAAGAUGUUUUUAUAGUCUAGAGCCUUUAAAAAACCCAGCAGAAUGUAAUUCAGU
rnacentral:lncRNA from 1 species